rnacentral:rRNA from 1 species
AGAGCGAACGCUGGCGGCAGGCCUAACACAUGCAAGUCGAGCGCCCGUAGCAAUACGGGAGCGGCAGACGGGAUAGUAACACGUGGGAACGCGCCCUUCGGUUCGGAAUAACUCAGGGAAACUUGAGCUAAUACCGGAUACGCCCUUACGGGGAAAGAUUUAUUGCCGAAGGAGCGGCCCGCGUCCGAUUAGCUAGUUGGUGAGGUAAUGGCUCACCAAGGCGACGAUCGGUAGCUGGUCUGAGAGGAUGACCAGCAUCACUGGGACUGAGACACGGCCCAGACUCCUACGGGAGGCAGCAGUGGGGAAUAUUGGACAAUGGGCGCAAGCCUGAUCCAGCCAUGCCGCGUGGAUGAUGAAGGCCUUAGGGUGUAAAGUCCUUUUAACGGGGAAGAUAAUGACGGUACCGUAGAAUAAGCCCGGCUAACUUCGUGCCAGCAGCCGC